AAAGUGAGUAAGAGCCACAUACUCCAUUCAUAAUGAAGUUAAGUGCUGCUUUCGUCUGUCCCCUGCUUGGCCUGUUUUGUGCAGGGCUGCGUCACCAGCUGCAAGAGUGGUGCUCCCAGUAUGGGAGACUCCCAAGGCUCUGUUGACUAAAUCGCCUCUCGGAAUAAGGUGGGGGCAUUAAAAGAGAAAUACAGGCGUUUUUUAAACCGGGAAUUAGGGAGAAACAGCACUGGAGUAUGACUGGUUAGACCGAGAUGUCAGUGCCUGUCUUGCCAACCAGGAGUCAGUUACAAUCAGCAAAAGGUCAUCUACAGAGCUGGAAUGGGACAAAUACCCUUUGCUCCAGAGGUGUAGGACAUAUGCAUUCAGGAUUUCACACGCCUGACACAGGAGAAAGUGAAGCCGUGCUGAUGAAAUACUUGUAAGUGCUGGACUCUGGGAAUAUGGAGACGGAAGGCUUGAUUCUUUUUUUUUUUUUUUUUUACAGGCAGAGUUAGACAGUGAGAGAGAGAGACAGAGAGAAAGUCUUCCUUCUGUUGGUUCACCCACUAAAUGGCCGCUGUAGCCGGCGCACUGCGCUGAUCCGCAGCCAGGAGCCAGGUGCUUCCUCCUGGUCUCCCACGCGGGUGCAGGACCCAAGUACUUGAGCCAUCCUCCACUGCCUUCCUGGGCUAUAGCAGAGAGCUGGACUGGAAGAGGGGCAACUGGGACAGAAUCCAGCACCCCAACCGGGACUAGAACCCGGGGUACUGGCGCCACAGGCAGAGGAUUAGCCUAGUGAGCUGCAGCGCUGGCCUGAAGGCUUGAUUCUCACUCUGAAGUCCCUGACAAAGUCUCAAGGGGGACAGAAAGCAAACAGUGCCGACAGAGUGGUGAGCCUCUGGUGGGGGUCAGUGCAGAUGGGAGACCCGGCUGGGGUAAGCCUGCCACUGACACUGGAGGAUGCGGUGGACCUGUCUGAGAGUGACAGGGAGAUGAUGUGGGCAUUUCAGGGGGGAUGGCGGCAGGUGCACAAGAGGAAACAGCACAUGAAGGUGCAGGACAGGCAGGCAGGACAGGCAGGCGAGGUCCUCCAGGGCGAUGCCACACUUCCCUCCUCACACUCCCAGUCCUCUGUAAACCUGGCUACAUGUGGGCUGCUGCCAGGCCCGAGAUAGCCGUUGCUGCCUUCAGAGUGCUGCUGGCCUGCUGGUGUCAACAUUGCCUGCUAAGUCCAUCGCUGGAGAGCAGACAGCAGCAGCAUCCUCAGAGGGAACAUGGCCCAUCACCCGAGUCAGCGGAUGCAGCCAAGCCCCUUCUGGACCAGGGUUCCCUGAAGUCCCCAGUGCCCGUGGAGAGGGCUGAAGAGACGGCACAGGCAGGAGUGAGGAGCAGGCCCACUCUUUGAGACAACUCGAGCCUGUUCCUUUGCUCCAAAUUAUUUCUCCUCUGCCUUCUCCCAUCAUGGCUGAUAGAUGGCACUGAUGACCCAAGUCCUCACCCAUCUCUGUGACCAGCUGGCCCUUCACCGUGGCAUUGGGGGUACGGUUUGUAUCCCCAUUUCUGGGCUCUGGCUUGACCAUGGGGCUAGCUUUGGCCAAUAGGGUGUGCUGGAGGUGCUGGCCUGUAGGUUUGAGUCUCUCCCUCCUGGAAACCUCCCUCUCCUGCCAGGCCAAGCCUGGGCCAGCCCCUUGGAGGACAGAAAACCAUGUAGGCAACUGCGGAGUCCUUCUUGCUGGACUGCACUAGAGUAGUGUGUCCCAGGCUGAGCAUCUCAGCUCAGGGGGCACCAAGUCACAACCACCAACAGGACUACAUCCCCAACCUGAGGCUGGGGAGAGAUCCUGGGUGGAUAGGGAUAAAGGACUCAGAAUUCAGAGGGUUUGCUACUCAAAAUAGUUAAUACACAUGGCAAUGUUCUCUCUUCUUCCCUUUGUCCCUUCUCCUCUAUAAAGGGUUAAGGAAUCACAAACUUGGUGAACAUAUUAGGGAGACGGCUUGAGUUACCAUUUGGGGGCCUCUUUUGUCUACUCUUUCAUCGUAGGAUGUAAGAUUUCAGUUUAUAUGAGUACUAACUGGCCCAAGGAGACACCAUUUGUGCUGUGAGAUGUGUUUUCCAUUCGAAUAAGCCAUUUUCCCUCUUACCCACAGCAUGACUCCUCUGCACUCCCAGGGCUCAAGGUCAUUGCUAAUUGGCAUGGCUGCUCACGUCUUGUCUGGGCAGCGCCUCGCAGGCGAGCUUUGCAAAGUGGAGGACCUAGGGGGACUGGCAGAAUUCUGAUCACGGCUGUAGAUAAUUUCACUGGCUCGCCACGGGCCUUGUUUGCUGGUGAUAAAAUCAAGGAUGGGAGCUCAGAAACCCAACUGGCUGCAGAGUUGAUGUGUGGCCCGAUUGCCUUGAUGAGAAAUCUGGGAGUUGUAAAGUGAGCUUGCUCUUUAACAGGCGCUCUGUGCCUGUCUGGCUCCUCGUCCAGAGAUGGGGCAAAAUCUAUUAGUGAGAGCCACACCGCUCGCGCCUCAUAGCAUCAGCCGUCCGGGAGAAGACCUGCCCAUUGCUUUUCUGAUCCUCUAAUUGGAACUGCUGACUGACUGUUAGGCACCUGAAUGGCUGAAAAUGGGGUUUCUGGGAGCUCGGGCACCAAAGCAUUUUAGAGGGCAGCGGUGGUGUCAGUCACGCGAUGUGCAGCUCAAUUCUGAUGGCUGUGGGUGGCUGCCAGGAGCAGCUGGCCUGGAAGAUGUCUGCACAAAGACUGCUGAAUGGCAGCGACUCCUGACUGCACUCACACUGCUGGCUCCCGCGGACUCCAGGGCUGUGUGUGAGGUCAGUUGGUUAAGAGUCAGGGUUGGUUUUCUGGACUUCACCAGCUCAGGGAAACACAGAAAGUCUUCUGGAAGAGUUCUUUGGCUGUAGAUUCAAGGGCAGGACAUGGGGCUACCCCUACACUUGACACAAAAAACAGCUCAGACACGAUUGGUUGGUUCCAGUUCAUCACCCUCAUGGGUCUCCAGAUGACUGCAGGUGUGUGGGCCAUCUUUUUGGCUAACGGUUUGGUAGCUGAAGUCCGCACUCUCAACACUUGCUGUUGAAUUUAGCCAUGUCCUGGUAAGCCUGAGCCUCCUGCUCCUUGUAAGUGACCCUGCUGCUCAGUCGCCACGAGAGACUCUAUUUGCGUGAGUAGAGAUGGGGAAUAGCUUGAGAGGAAGCCAGGUGACCCCGUGCUGUAUUUCAAGAAGGCAUUCCAUUCAACUCAUCAGACUUUGCAAUGGGUGCCUACCACGUGCGUGGGAAUGCAAGAGGGAGUAUGGUGGGGCUCCUGCUCUCAUGUUGCUCAAGAGGCACCCAGCUCUUCCCUUUCUCCCUGCACAGAACUCAGCGCCUCUCCUCUUCCUGGCUGUACGGCUUCUCCAACUACCUGCAGGCUUGGGGAGGCAGCUCUUCCUUCCUCCAGAAAUGAGCUCUCUGCUGUGGCCUGGGAAAGCAGUAGAAGAUGCCCCAAGUCCUUGGGCCCCUGCACCCACUUGGGAGACCCAGAAGAAGCUCCUGGCUCCUGGCUUCGGAUCAGCAGCUCCUGACCCCCCUCGUUGAUCCCGAGUUUCCCUUCCAGUGUUAUUUACUGCCAUCUGUGCAUCGAGGCUACUUGGGAAAACUCGGGGAGCCGUGCUGGGAGUGCCGAGGGACACGUAAUCUGCUUGCGUGGAGGGCAGGCUGCGCUCUUGGUGUGCCAGUGGUUCCCCUUCUGUGUCCCCUUCGUUUCUGGAAGCCAGUAGAACUCUAACUUUAGACACUGUUUAUGUUAGAGUUCUGUUUCUACGUGGCAGAGUGACAGGGUCCUUUUAGCAAAGGUUGAGGAAUAGGAGAGGAUUCUGAGUAACAAAGAUCUCCCGGCCCUUGAAUAUACCUGCUACCCAUCUGCAGAUUCAAAGCUGGGCCCCUGUGGUAUGAUCAAGUCUCAUAGCAUACAGCAUCAUUAAAACCUUCAGAGAAACAUAUGAAAAGUAGGCAAUCUCCUUUUGUCUUUCAAUAUCCGCAUCUAGAAAAGGCCACAAGAGGGUAUCUAUGCUACCUUUGUUAUUGAAAUAGGAUGAUAUUGGCAAGGUAGCUGUUGCACAGCAGCGGGCUAUUGUCAGUGGCAUUGUUAAUGCUGAUCAGUAAUAGAAUAAAAAUCAUUGCAUAUGGGAAAGCUGCCAAUGCAGGGGAAGAAAUAGGGGUCCAAGAGACCAUCAGAUCUAUGUUCAGUGAGGAGGGGAGGGGAGAGGCAGAAUGCUUUGGGACAAAGUGUCAGUCCAAGACAUCGUUCAAGGCAAACACUAGAAAGCUCUUGUGGAGAGAAACAUGCACAUUCUGUCUGCAAGCCUGGAUGACGACAUAGAAACAUCCCACAUUUCCACGUUCUCCCAACAAAGAUGGAGCCUUGCAUCCCUGGGGGUCCCUUUGCAUCCAUUCAGUAAUACGGUAACUGUUAGGUACCACGUGGCCAGCAUAGAGCAGCGUGACCGUGUGCCUCCACUCGGGGCGGCCAGGGUCUCAGCUUCAGUGCACACACCCUCAGUGCAGGCCCACAGAGCACGUCUCCAUGAGGCAGUGAGCCCGAACUGUGCAGCAGAGAAGGCAGUUCGGCAGCUCCAGAGGAGAGAAGGAACUUCUCUAAGUCUAGUCCGAGUUGCUCCCCACAGACUCUGACCAUAACAUUGCUGCAAUGGAAAAUGUUCUGGUAAGAAAGCAAGCUGUAAGGGCAUAGGUCUUGGGGCAAAGUAGGUUGUCUGGCAUGUCAGAAAUGAAGGUGGAGAAAUGAGACAGACUAGCGCAGGAGCAGCUCUAGAAAUUAGCACCCUUCUCAUGGCCAAGCCUUAAGAUCCCCCCUACUGCUGGCCAGGGCAGUCGGUCGUGUGACGUGCUACGUCCCGGAGUAGCCACUAGCAGUGGCUGGUGUCACUCUUUCCUUUUUAGACAGCACACAGGAGGGAUGGGAAGCAAGAUUCCACUACUGUGCUUUAUUCAAGUUCCGUGUUUUUGUGCAGCUCAUGAGCAGACAGCUCUGUCAUCAGAGAUUUCCAGAGCCUUCUUCAGGUUCUUCUGUGUAGCCGCAUGUGCUGGUAAGGUAGAAUCAUCCGUAUUUGGUAGAAGGUUGAUUGGAUGUGGGGGCAGGAGGGUAGCAGAAGUGAGGGUGUAAGAGUCAAUGAAUCUGCUAGUUUAAGAGACCAAGUAGAUGGUGACAGUGUUCAUGAUCCCUUUUGAAAAUUAUUAUUUAUUUAUUUGCAUUUUACUUGAAAGCAAAACAGAAACAGAGACAAAGACAGAUGGAAAUCUUGCAUCUGAUGGUUCACUAUUUCAGUGCCCACAACAGCCAGGACUGGGCCAGGCCAAAACCAGAAGCUGGGAACUCAAUCCAGAUCUCCCUUGUGGUGGCAGGUGUGGGGAGCAACUCGGACUAGACUAAGUUACUCGAAUUAAGACUUACUCUAUGCAUCUGCUUUCCCACAAUAUGGCGCUGAGAAGGGAGUAAACAACUUCUACACAGCUGCCUCUCGCCAACUUGAGUGAUGACCUGCAGGAGCUGAUCCUGCUCCUGAUUGGAGGAGAGCAGCGUACUCGGCGUGUGGGUAGCAGAGUUGGGAUUGGUGGAAGAUGACUAUAAAGGAGGAGAGAGACAACAUGCACCAGGAACAUCUAAGGGGAACACCUGAGGAACAUCUGAGCAGCCCCCAAGAGAGCCGGCCGGCGGUGUGCCGCUCCCCCGCGGAAGUGGGGAAAGUGGCAGGGGGAACCGCCCUUCCACGGAGGUGGAAGGGUCGGUAGCCAACCCGGGAAGAACCAGCAGCAAACCCGGGAAGGGCCGAGCAGACAAAAGAACAGCGCAGGGUCCUGUGUCGUUCCUCCGUGAAGAGGGGGAGCGACAUAAUGGUGCCAUGACUCGGAUAGGAAACCUAGGCAGUGUUUAGUGUCAUUCCUCCACGAAGAGGGGGAGCGACAGCAGGGACCCAAGCUCUUGAUCUGUCGCCCAUGGCCUCUCAGUGUACGUGAGCAGGAAGCUGGAUUGGAAGCAGAGCAGCCAGGAUGCUAACCCAGUGAUUACAAUAUGGGAUGCAAAACAGCGAUUUCCUCUGUGCCAAACACCCACCCGUUAUUUCCCUCUCUUUUUUAAAAAUUCAUUUAUUCAUUCUGAUUAAGAGGCAGAGCAACAGAGAGAGAGAGCGAGCGAGCUAGCUCUUCCAUCUGCUGGUUUACACUCCAAAUGUUUUCAACUACCAAGGGUGGCCCAGGCCAAAGCCAGGAGCCAGGAACUCCGUCUAGGUCACUCCUGUGGGUACACCUUAGUCGUGAUCUGCUUCCUCCCAGGGUGCGUAUUAACAGGAAGCUGGAUCACAAGUGGAGGUGGAACCUAAUGUUAGGCACUCCAAUAUAAUUUGAGAGAACAGUACAAUGAACACCUGUAUAACUUUCAUCUAGAUUCAACAACUGUAAAUAUCUUUAGCCUUUUCUCCCUUACCUUACUGAGCUGUUUAAAAUUAUUACAUUAUGAUACUUCAACACUAAUGAAUGUUCUUAGACAAAGGACUUUUUCCUCCAUAACCAUAGUAUCAUUAUAGAUGGAUCUGUUAGUUGUUUCCUUAUGAUUAUAUCCAGGAUGCCAAUCAGGAUGACUUGGUUUGGUGACAUAAUUCUCUCCAUUAUAAAUCAUAAGUAAACUGAUGACAGCUUGACCUUGUAAUCUAUUAUUCAGUAGUUAAAGCAUUUGUUGAUUAUCUUUGCUUGAAUCAAUUCUUAUAUUGCUAGGGGCUUACUUUUGACUUAACUGUUCUAUAAUGAUUGCUCCAUUGUGGUCCUUAAAGUCAGAUAUAAUUUUUGCUGUUGUUUGUUGUCUGAAAAACUGGAGACAAGGGAUAUCAUCUAAUUCUGUGAAAAACAUUUCCCAUGAAAUAGAGCAUAUGUUAGGAAAAUGGCCAAAAAGGCAUUGUGCAGCUAUUUUUUAGAAAUCAUCAUGUAUUUUAUAAAAUGGAUAACUCUUGCACAAGAUUUAACAUUGUCCAUGAUGUUCAGCUUUUGUAGUUUGUAGAAGAAACACUGUAAUAUGUCAUUUAACAUCAUAAAGGAAUCUCAUGUCUGUCCACUGAUAACUCAUUGGCAACACACCACAGCUGUUCUGAGGCAGCUCAGAAAAGAAAAAAAAUCCACGAGCCAACCAACCAUCUGACUUUAAUUAGGGAAGAGAACAGUCCCCAAAUGUACGAGAAUGAGGUCUUUUGCAGGUCAGAGUACUGUACAGAACUUGAAAAGAGGUAAUACAAAGACCUGGAUGUGAAGGUUAGUUCCUGCUUUGAAGGACUCUGUAACAGGGAGGCUCAGUCCUCAGUGUUCCUGAGACCAAGUCAUUCCUUGCUGUGGCUACAGUAAAUACUCAUCAGGCUCAAAAACGCAGGCUUCGCAAUUACUGGAGGCCCUCCAGAAGGAAGGCAGAGACGCCUCUACCUGAGGUGCAGAGGGCUGUGGGCAGAGUACCUUCUCUAGGUGAGGAAGACCCAGAUCUCAUUUGGGCCAUGAUGCAGUUAGGACCUUUAUUGAGCAUCUAAGUAGAGAUACGGGGUUGCCAGAUACUAUAUGUGCUCAUGUUCAGGGAGGUGCACGGUUGAGAGUUGUUUGCAUACAGAUGCUGUUUAUAGCUGUGACACUGGAAGAGAAUCAGCAAGGAGAGGAGAGAACAGAGAAGAGAUUAGGGGAUCCGCAGAUUCAGGCCUGGGGCACUUCAACGCCAGGAGGUUAAGGGACAAAAGAGGACCUGGCAAAGGAAAUGGAGAGGCAGCCGUCCAUAGGGUGGAAGGCAAGUAAAUUGAGCGGUGUCUUGGGGACAAGUGAAGAAAUCGUUUUAAUGAGAAGGGGGCAAUCAACAGUGACAAUGUGAGACCUGGUAGGUCAAGUUUGAUGGCAAUCAAGAACUGGAUUUAGCAACAUGAAGGUCAUCGGGGGUAUGGCAAGCGCCGUUUGGUGGGGGCGAUGGAGUUUAAAUUCCAACCGGAUGAAGUUUAAGUGAGGAGAGGAGAGGAACCGGAAGCGGGGACACUGCGUCCUCUUUGCAGGAGUUCUGUGGUCAGGCAGGGGAGGGGAGCAGAGGAAAGACUUGUGUUGGAAGGAAAAGUAAAUUUAGUUUUAUGUUCUCAUUUUUAAAAAGUAUUUAUUUUAUAUAUUAGAGAUAGAGAGAAAUUGCCAUCUGUUGACCCACUCCCCAAAUACCUACAAGAGCUGGGACUGGGCCAGGCUGAAGCCGGGAGCUGGGAACUUAACCCAGAUCUGCCCUGUGGGUGGCAGGGACACAGCCUCUUGAGCCCUCACUCCUGCCUCCUGUGCAGAGUCACAGGAAGUUAGAAUCUAGAGCGGAGCCAGGACUCAAUCCCACGUACUCCAGUAUGGGACUUGGAUAUCUGAAGCAGUAUCUUAGCCACGAGGCCAAAGGCCUAACCUUGUGUCCUCAUUUUUAAGAAGAGAGAGAGAACAGGAGGAUGGCUGUGUGCUGGUGGUAAUUACUGAGGGGAAAUGACUGAUAUAAGCAAGUAGAGAGGAUUGCCGGAGAGAAGCCUUUGAGU